UACGAGGGGGGCAAGCGUUGUUCGGAAUUAUUGGGCGUAAAGGGUGCGUAGGCGGUCUGGCAAGUCUGCUGUGAAAUCUAUGGGCUCAACCCAUAGUCUGCAUCGGAAACUGUCGGGCUUGAGUAUGGGAGAGGUGAGUGGAAUUUCCGGUGUAGCGGUGAAAUGCGUAGAUAUCAGGAGGAACACCAAUGGCGAAGGCAGCGCGCUGGAACGGUACUGACGCUGAGACGCGAAAGCGUGGGGAGCAAACAGG
rnacentral:rRNA from 1 species